GAAGCGGUACACAGGGUAGAAAGUGGUGGGUGAACGUAAGAUGACGUCAUCACGUAAAAGGGGGAUGCUCGAAUCCACGUUGUCGUUGGGUAAUGCAGUCAAUGAAUGGAGGACGGAAUCAAAGCAACAUUACCAUAACCAUGACCUUAAAUCAUGGGGACCUCGGUCGCUGGCGCAGAGGGAUUCUUAUUCAUGGACCGACGAAGACAGGAGAAAACUGACAGCACUCAGAGACGCAAAUAACUCUCAGGUUGCGCCUGAUAUUUCUCAUUACACGAAACUACCACCAAUAUAUGCGAGACCUGAGACACACAUGAAUGGACACAUAGACAAUUCAGGCGAAGGGAAAACAGAAAGGAAAUCUCACGACCGAAGAGCAAACGGGAGACGCACUCAGCGAUACAGUGACAACGAUGAUAUUUGAGAAACAAACUAUAUCGUCCACGAUGGGUAACUGCUGCGCAAGACAUAGUUGCACUUUGUAUGUUGGUAUGAACAUCGUAAUUAUAAAGUUUUAUAGCCAACAAGAAUAUCUUUGAAGCAACUUCUAAUAUUUGAAUACAGAACUCGCGUAAUUGUGCUUUUACAUUUCAUCAGAACACAGCAGGAAUGCUUCGUAACUUUAUAAUCAUUGUAUUUAUUAUUAUUGUUUAACUUUAAUGCAACAAGGCAGGCCACUCUCAACAGAGCGUCUCUUGUGUAACUUUCUAAACAGUGUUUCAUCCGAGCUGUGACUGACAGCAAAUUGUUAUCACCACUCUUGAUAACUGUCUUGAUUUAACCAGACAACCAUACAGAAGCAAAAUUAGUCAGCGGAUACUACUGUUGAUUGUUCAUUAAUUUCACGUGUCAACAUGGCUCCAACAUUCGCGUACUAGUAGAAGUUAAGCACCUACCUGUAUAAACGCAAUUCAUAAAUAAAUAAUUUACAUAA